GCCGAAGUGGCGAAAUAGGUAGACGCAAUUGACUCAAAAUCAAUCACUGUAAUAGGUAUGUCGGUUCGACUCCGACCUUCGGCA
rnacentral:tRNA from 1 species